rnacentral:rRNA from 1 species
CGGUAAUACGGAGGAUCCAAGCGUUAUCCGGAAUCAUUGGGUUUAAAAGGUUCGUAGGCGGUCUGAUAAACCAGCAACAGGAUCCUUCCGCUUAACGGGAGAACGGCCAUUGAUGUUGUUAGACUUGAAUUAUUAGGAAGUAACUAGAAUAUGUAGUGUAGCGGUGAAAUGCUUAGAGAUUACAUGGAAUACCAAUUGCGAAGGCAGGUUACUACUAAUGGAUUGACGCUGAUGGACGAAAGCGUGGGUAGCGAACAGGACCGAGCGUUUUAACAGCUUGUGCCGUAAACGAUGGAUACUAGCUGUUGGGAGCAAUCUCAGUGGCUAAGCGAAAGUGAUAAGUAUCCCACCUGGGGAGUACGUUCGCAAGAAUGAA